AGGUGAUGAUAUCGUCUUAUUGCUACAAGCCUGAAUGCUCCAGCUCGGAUAAAUUACUACAAGCAGUCAAACAAUUCUACUUAUAAUACAAAAGAUACAUGAACGAAGAUGCUGUAAAGGUCAAAACUUACUUGCUCCAGUUUAUAUAAAAAAGCAGGCCAAACAUUGGUGAUAUCGAGAAGACCCUGGCGAGAAGGUUUGCUGAUCUCUACUCCAAAGGAUGGGCAAUUCUGUUCUUUCCAAUCGAGAGUUUCACACAAAGGUGAUGAUAUCGUCUUAUUGCUACAAGCCUGAAUACUCCAGCUCGGAUAAAUUACUGCAAGCAGUCGAACAAUUCUACUUAUAAUACAAAAGCUACAUGAACGAAGAUGCUGUAAAGGUCAAAACUUACUUGCUCCAGUUUAUAUAAAAAAGCAGGCCAAACAUUGGUGAUAUCGAGAAGACCCUGGCGAGAAGGUUUGCUGAUCUCUACUCCAAAGGAUGGGCAGUUCUGUUCUUUCCAAUCGAGAGUUUCACACAAAGGUGAUGAUAUCGUCUUAUUCCUACAAGCCUGAAUGCUCCAGCUCGGAUAAAUUACUGCAAGCAGUCGAACAAUUCUACUUAUAAUACAAAAGCUACAUGAACGAAGAUGCUGUAA